rnacentral:rRNA from 1 species
UACGUAGGGACCGAGCGUUGUCCGGAUUCAUUGGGCGUAAAGAGCUCGUAGGCGGCUGCUCAAGUCGAAUGUGAAAACUCGAGGCUCAACCUCGAGCCUGCAUUCGAUACUGGGCGGCUAGAGUCUGGUAGGGGGAUCUGGAAUUCCUGGUGUAGCGGUGGAAUGCGCAGAUAUCAGGAGGAACACCGGUGGCGAAGGCGGCGGCCUGGGUUGACACUGACGCUGAGGCGCGAAAGCGUGGGGAGCAAACAGG